ACAACACCAAGCAUACCACAGGACAACCUUUUUUAUUGUUUUCUGCAUACAACUUCAAUUAACUGGGAAAUCCGAUCCAGACGGAACACCGAUCGAUUAUUUAAUACUUAUUACCGGUGGGAGGACGAAGAAGGUGAAGCCAUGGAGGGCUUCGACAUCUUCGGUGUAGCGAUGCUACACCAUAUUGCCGAGAACUGGCGUCGACAAUGAGUGUGGGAGGAAGAGUCCUUCAAGCUGUGGGCAAUGUCGACUGAAAGGCGCUUGAGAGUACCCGCCGACGAAGACGAAUUGAAAGAAGAAAAGGAGUGGAUGUCUACUAUAUACGGAGUAGAUUUUUAAAAAAAUAAAUAAUAGAG